rnacentral:lncRNA from 1 species
CGCGCGAGUCGGUUGCUCGCGGACCCGGCCUUGGAGACGCAGGUUCGGAGCCCUGAGAUUUGAAUGGCGUCGCGCCGUGGACUUUUGUUGAGAGAAUCAGCCUCCAACCCACAACAUCGUGGUGAAUGGGAAAGAAUGUGUAAACUUUGCCUCCUUUAAUUUUCUCGGGUUGCUGGCCAACCCCCGGGUGAAGGUGAGUAGCACAUGAGAGUGAUGUUGGGGAGGACACUGCUGGCUGCAGAACGCUGUAGAAGACAGGCCUGGGUCAUCCGCGAGGACAGUGUUUCCCAUUCUGUCUGACGGAACCAGAAUCUGGACUUGGACCAUGCAGGGCAGUGUCUGGUGGGCUCAGUGUGGAUGGCAGCCAGAGAACCUAGGAAGCCAGGCCUGUGGAGUAGCGAGAGAACAGCCAAGAUGUUGCCCAGCUCCUGUUAGGAUUGGGGCUUGCAGACAUCCUCAGGAAAGCCUGGUCGUCACUGAGCUUUUAGAAGCAGACGAAUGUCACUUCUCCAUUGCUUCAGUCUUAUGUCUCAUUUACUAAUCUGUGUUUCCUAAAUCCUGUUGGAACUGCUGUAGUUACAAGAAAGGGGGAAAGCGAGAGAGAGGAAGAGGAGCCAGAUGGGGCCUAGAGCGGGACGUGUCGCCUGACUUGUUGGAAUUGCCAUAGACCCGGGGAAGAAGGGAAGGGGUGGGCAGGGCUGCCAUGUGGUGAAGAAUGGGGAGGGUGGUCAGGACCACGCAUGGGGAGUCACUAGCACAUUUGCUUCUGUUUCCAUAAUCACAGUAUUAUUAAUAGUAAUGACAAAGAAGAAACUAGGAGAUGGUGAGAAGUCAAAUGUCACUCACUGUCCCCUCUUGUGGAGCCAUAAACUCCAGAAGCAGUACUAAUGUGGACCAGACAUACAUUUUCUGUGGCCUAGCACUACAGACACGAGCUCCACAUAAAAUACACACAGAGGAAGUAAUGUCUAAAAUUUUAAUUACUUCCAAUAUGGAAAAGCACUCGGCUUUCCAGAUAGCACACGCUGACAGGGGCAGUGCCUAGGACAGUGCACAGGGUUCCCUGGGGCAAGUGGUGCCUGUGCUCUGUGCUGAUAGUAGCUGGCACGGGACACAGGUUCUCUCGACACCUGGGCCCAGUUGUUAGCAUAGGGCAUCGACUUCUUCGUGGAAUGUUGGCUGUGUACCUGGUGUUUGGCUUGAUGAACAAAGCCAGUGUUUCCUUGGGCUAUUUUUGAUUGUGCAGUAGGAAUUCUGUGGUGGCGGACAUGCCUACUCACUGGAGCAUGGGGUCUGUCUUGGUGCGCACUUUUCCUUGAGGGAGCACAUCUAUGGUGAAUCCCCAGUUUCUCCUCUAGGAUUGGUCCAGCAGAGGUCUUGAGGUCCUGUGCUUCAGUGUUCUCCUGAGGCAUGAAUGAUCUGCUCAUGCCGGACCCUCGACUGUGGGUGGUGCCAGAUAAGGCCCGGACUUUUUGCAGUAAGUUCUCCUGCCCUUUGUCUUUGGGGGUCAAAAUUGAAACAAUGAAGUUUUUUAUUUUGUCCCCAAACUUCUUUUCAUGGGUAUUUGACCCAGAGGCUUGGACAGGCCUUGUCCCUGAACGCUGCACGUCCUGCCUGAGACUUCCACAGACCUUUUUAUUAUUUGGACCAAAUAUAUGGCUAGUCCUUGGUUCCUGAGUUUGGGAAAUCUUGGUGAGAUUCCUUUCUCUUGAGAUGAGAGGGUGUCUGUCAUGAGACUUUGACUGAAUUGAAGGGGACAGAGUCUUGGAACGGAAUUUGGAGGCCCUGGAAGCUAGGAUAUCUGCAGCAAGCAGAACCUCCGGAGCACAGUCUUGAAGGAAUGUUCCAGUGGCAUAGUCCUGCAGGACAACACCUGCAGGGGCCAGGCAGUGAGGUGUGCUCAGACCUGAGUCUUCUGGAUCCUGGGAAAUGGGUCUGAAACGGGAUGGAGUCUCACUGGUCUCCUGUGAUUCACUGUUGGUUGGAGACUUUGCCAACUCCCCAGCUUCCGUGGUGAGCCCCCAGGAAGAAGACUCUUCCUCCUCUGCCUCUUCCAGACGCCAGGCACCUUACUGUCUUUGGUAUGUCUCCACCCCCUGCUUGAGCAGUUUUUCAGGGUUUCUUCCGUCUUCUCCUUUCCUCGUCCCACUAGGGAAACACUUUGUGCAUCUCUUCUUGGGAGGCUCAUGUGGUAAGUUUCCUCCUCUGUCUCUGAGAUUUCCUCAAGAACUUUGCCUAGGGGACCUUCUGGGCUCCUGUACAGAUCUCUCUUUGUUCUUUGCAAGCAGUCUAUCAGAUCCAUGCCUGGAUCCCUCCAUGUCUGGAAUAUCUCUGGACCCUCUGAGUGGACACUCUGUGGAGGCUGGCUGUUGUCAUCUGCCCGUGACGAGGGGCAUGGACUGCUAUGAUUACCUUCUUCCUGACUUGUUACUGACAGUUUGUCCUGAGACGUCAUAAGGUCCAGAGAUAGUUGGACCUUGUGGGGCUGUUGGCCCUGUUGUAUGAAUCUCGUUAGUAACUGCUGUUCUAACUGCUCCUGAAACCUGGUCUGAAUGAAUUCCCCCGGGAGUUGGACAACAGACCCAUGGCCCUUGGACACCCAACUAUUUGAAGUGAGUGGAUUCCAAGCUUCGUGGGACUUUUUCACCAUGACUGGGUGAUUGCUGAAAUAUCAGAGAAGCAGAUGAGCCAGCCAUUAGAGAAACUUCUUACCUCUAGAAAUCUCAGACAAAAAAGGGCUGAGCUACUGUGUAUACCCCACAUUAUCACUUCUACUCUCUGCCCAACCAUAUCACUUCCUGUCUCCUGAAUGUACAGACCUCCAGACCUCUAUGGUUAACUAAUGGCUAGCACCAACUGCUGAUCUUCUGGCAAGUGUUAUUUGUCAGAACAUAAACAAACUACUAAAACACCAGGCCUAAACCAUUCUAGGAGGCCUACCUCAACCACCCCAGGCCUUGACCACUCAGGCAGCCUUUCCUCAACCAACCCAGGCCUUAAUAACUCAAGCAGGCCUAUUUCAACAAACCAGGCCUUAACCAUUCUAGGAGACAUCCCUCAACCACCCCGGGCCUUGACCACUCAGGGCGCCUUACUUCAACCAAACUAGGCAUUAAUCACUCAAGCAGGCCAACCUCAACCAUCCCAGGUCUUGACCACUUAGGCAGCCCUACCUCAACCAACCCAGGCCUUAAUCAUUCAAGCAGGCCUAUGUCAACCACUCCAGGCCUUAACCGUUCUAGGAGGCCUCCCUCAACCAUCCCAGAUCUUCACCACCCAAGCAGGCCCAUGCCAACCACCCCAGGCUUUGACCACUCAAGAAGGCCUAACUCAAGCCUUUCCUGGUACCAGGUUGCUGCCAAAACCUGAUGCCACUCCAGCUCAUCUCAUGAUGAAUCCUUGCAAGAGCAUCUUUCUCUCAGCCUCCAAGAUGCCUCGUUCUAGACAGGCCCCACAUCCAGGCAGAUGGAGGCUGGGGCACCCUCUUUCAUCAACCCUGAUAUCCAGGACAUGCUGGAAUUUCAGCUCAGCAAAAGAGUAGAACUAAAUGUUUGGAAGGGGAAAGGAAAAGAAUCAUCUGACCAUGCCUGGGCCACAUGGGCAAUAUCCUGCUGUCCUGGAGCAGCAAGUAGACCGCUACCACAUCAUGGCCCUUCUGGAACAGAAACUGCAAAUCAGGGCAGUUUUUAGGACAUUAGCAGUUCUUCUGCCAGAAGGUCUCAGGGAGAAAUUUAUAUCAGAAAUGUAGCCAGUUUUUCUGGGGCCUCACUUUCUCCACAGUGAGUCCCAAUGCCUACUGUCAACAUGGCACGAGCUCUCUACUUACAUCCCGGUACAACUUCAGACUAAUAUACCUCCACAGCUCUUUCCUACAAAGGCCUUGAUUCAUCACUUGGUCAAAUGCCAACCUUUGACUCAGAAGCUGUCCUGGACCUGAGCUCCACCAGUGGCUGCCAUCCAAACCAGGCCCCAGCCCCAUACUCUCUCCAGAAACUACCAAGCCAUUCACCUCCAAUUAGGGAUGAUGGGGCUUCUUGUCCUAAAGAUUCAUGAUCCCAAUUUAUUGUCCCACCUGCUGUUAGACACCUAGAGUGCCACCUUUUGAAGAAGCACCUAGAAAGUAAGACUGAUUUAUCAAACAUGGUUAAAAAGUAACAUAUACUGUUUGAUCAACUAACUUCCAAGAGCUGGGUACCCCAUAGACUGUAGACUGUUGUCUGCUGCCCAGGGGACCUUUUUAACCCCGAGCUCUGAGAGCAGAUGGAAGGACACUUAAAAACGAGAUUCACACAACACCAGGACUAACGGGCCUGCAAGGUCCAGCUCAGAACAAACUCCCAGGGAUGGGUCAGGCAGAAGUUACUCACUGACUCCAUGUCCCUCAGCACUGUUAGAUGAAAGCAGCAAGCAAGCAGAGUGUCUCAUCAAAGGGUCCAGAGAUGGAGAGACCCACGCAUGGUUCUGACAAAGUGGGAAGAGCUCUGAACGAUUUAUAUGGGAGCCCAGAAGUUGUGCUAGGCAAAGUUCUCAAGGCUAGCUCUGAGACAGGGAUGCAAACUUGCCACAUGAGACACCCAAGAAGUGACAUGACUCAUGAAGUGUUUCCCCGGUGGGACCAUGAAAGAAGCAGCUAGAAGACACCCUUAAAAAAACACUCAAGAAGCAAGUGGAAGCAUACCGAUGACAGUAAGGUUGUCAGUGGCAUUUUCUUUUCACGGAAUACAAAUGGACCAUACUUUGCUGCACACUAAAAACUCAGACAAAUAUGGAAACUUGGAAAAAAAAAUCCUUGAAUGAGUCAACCACCUGCAAGAAAACUUGUAAAGGGUAUCCUUCCUUCCUGGAUCCCACCACUCAGAAGGUGCUGGAAACACAUCUUACAAGACACCUGGUGAGGCUCACAUGGAGCCUUCCCCUCAGAAGCCUCAAGACCAUACAUGCUUUCAACAUGAACAAGGCUAUAGCUUGGCCCUUUCCACGGCACUCCUCUUUGUCCUCCUGAGAGUCAAGAAAUGACUCCAUUGACAAAAUGACCAGUGUCCUGGGAGAAGCUUUUCAGAAAGCCCCAGAGGAGAAAAUGAUGAAAAUAACCACCACUGUGGAAUCUCUUUCCAUACAGAUCCCUCUUUCUGCCCUCCAGCUCAAAUUCCUGAGAAAGGCUCCAUGUAGUGACAACUCUGGACCCUCUGAGGCACCUAUGACUGUUGAGGAGGACAAUAUAACUUCUGUGUCCACCCUACAGAGUCUCCUGGGCAGAGCCCAGGACCUUGGACAGACAACCCAGAGCCAAAUCCAGGCCUAGUCAAGUGUGUGUGAGUCACAGGAGAGUAAGGUGUGGCUUUUAGAGAUAUCUACCAUGAAGUGUCAGUUCGGGAGAUCAGUGUGGCAUCCUAGCCACCCAGCAGCAGGGAUAUGAGGGAGCUGGGUGAGGCAGAGGAGGAAGAGUCCUGUGACUGGACAAUCACCAUGGAAGCUGGGGAGAUGGCAAAAUCUCCAACCAACACUGGACAUUGCCUGCUAGAAUCAUUUCCCAGGAUCCAGAAGACUCGGGCCCGAGCACAUCUCACUGCUCAGCCCUGGUGUUGUCUUGCAGGACUGUGCCACUGGAACACUCUUUGAAGACUGUGACCCCAGGGUCUGCUUCUUACAGAUCCCCUGGCCUCCAGGGCCUCCCAGUCCAGCUUAGAGACUGUGUCUGCUUUAAGCCAAGUCAACCUCCCAUGACAGGGAUCCUUGGAAGCCCAUAUUCACCUCAAUGGAGGCUGCCAGCAUGCUGAGUUCUCCAGGCCCUCCCAGCUCAGUCAGGAGGGCAAAGCAGUAUUACCCUGUCCUAUGUCUGCCUUCAAUGCCAGAACGGUGGUCAGCAUGACACUGUCAACUUUCCAGGAGGGCAGCAGCUACAGAGACCCCUGGUCAUUUGCCAUUCCUUCUGGUCCACUGGAUAUACAGGACCCAUCUGACUGUGGGCAGGGGCCGAAUAUUUGGUAUGGAGACGAUUUUAUAAUACCACAACCAAUCAAGUACAAAGUGUGGACUGCAGUUCCAAUGGAUACAAGCACAAAACAAUUCCCUCACCUUAUGUUGAAGAUGCCAAAAGGAGGAACCCCCAGCCCUCUGAGAACAGCUACUCCCAUCACCAGCAAGGGUCACUAUGACCUAGAAGAAAGCAGAGUGGUGUGCCAUAUUAGUUGUGGCCAUCAUGCCAUCCCCAGAGGUGACAGUCAUUCAAUGAAGAACAGCUUUCAGCGCGUGGCUUCUGUCUGCACUAAGCUGGGCACAAGGCAAGGUCAGCAUUUGGUUGUCCUUGAAGCAGCUUCUAGAAGUGAAGGGCACAGAGACAUGACAGUGGCACUGAGACUCAUGCUCACCCCACAUCCCUAGCUGCAGCUAAGGCUUGCCAUCCCAGCAUCAGAGAAACCGUCGUAGAAAACCUUCACAUAUGUGGAGAUGCACUAAUCUGCCAGCGACCCCCCACCACUGGGUCUUGCUCAACCUGCCCCUCUGGUUUUGUCCUACAUUUGUGCCUGUGAAGGUAUGGCUGUGCAGAGGCACAAGAAGGCCCAAUAGCUCACAUGCCACAAGGAGGGUUCAGGAAUGUUGGGGUGUGGUGGUCUUCAGCUAAAAUUUGGAAGACUCCUGCAUCUAGUCUCCUGAGGGAAAUGAAUCCCCAGGAGCAAAGCCCAUGCUCUCCCUGCUGGAGCCAGUAGAAGCCACAGAGUCUCCCACCAUGAGAAGGCCACAGUCACCGUUUUCCUAACUUAUGUGCAUGUGUGUGCCUGUUUGUUUAUAUGUGCACAGCACAGCUGCAUUGUCUGUGGAGGCUUCAGAUCCCUGCAACUGGAGUUACGGGCAGCUGUGCACCACUUGAUGUGAGCACCGGGAACCAAACCCAGGUCCUCAGCUAGUGUUCCUAACUGAUGAGCUUUCUCCCCAGCUCCUCCACAUUUCUCUUUAGAAACUGAUAGAGCCCACCCAAGGUUCCCCUUAGACACGCCCUCCAGACCUUCACAUACCCCACAGAGACCCCUAGACACUCCCCCAUGGACAUUUAGGGACAUCCACACAGAGAACCCCAAAGUUCCCUCUCAGACCCUCUCUUCCAGACCUUCAAGCGCCCUCCAUAGAGACUUCUGGCCAACACAGAAACACAUGUAAUAACACCCUCAACACCAGCAAUAGCACGUGAGCUCCAGAGCCCACAGAGAUCUCACAGAAACCCUUACAUUCUCAUGUCAUCAUGCCAGCCACACUACACAAAGACUGGAAUAUGCUAACAUGUCGUCCAGGAAAGGUGGCCUACUAGGCCUCUUGAUUCUGACUUCACCUGGCUCCAGCCAUUUGCUGUCAUCUGCGGUGAUGACGCCAAAGCACCUGCUCCCUUAGCUCAGGACCUGGACUCCCCACCACCUGUUCAUUGAAGCCUUAACGAUCUUUACCAUUCCUCAGCAAUGGUCACAUGACCCCAAGAUGACUCUCAACUUGGGGAUCCUUCUGAAGCUUUGGAAUAAGCACCCCACACACUACCCUUCUAUUCCUGGGGUAACCAGCUGAACAUUUCACACAUCAUUUUCACUAUCAUGGAAGCUCAGAGGGAAGCAUGCUCAGGUUUUGUAUACCAUGGUCCCUGGAGUGAGGCAAACUUUAGUGGUUUCCCUUGCUUCAGCUAUAAAACAGGGCAGCGGGUGAGUGUUAAUACUGCAUGAAGGGAAAUGAGUUGCAAGACUGAAACACUAUGGUAGCCUUCUGGAUCAUUUUCCUAUCAUUCUUUUUUUGUGUGUGUGUGCAUUGUCACUGAUGUGAUUUUCACUGCUAAACCAUACACAAUAAAGUUUUUCCAAUAAAAUCAAACAAUGUCAUUUUAGCACAAAAGUUAGCAUUUGUAUCUAUUAGAAAGUCACAGUACACACAAUAAAAUAAUCUGCAUAAUCUUUCAGGUCAUUUUUUUCCACGUCACUUCCUGGCACAUGGCACGCACAGGGCUUACCUAACUUCCUCUGAUGGUAAAGGUCUCGUCCACAAUCCCAAAGCAUUUGCAGCUUUGACCUUGAAAACAUGGGCCUUACGGGGUUUGGCCCUUCCAAGC